GGUUGGAUGUGGGGGUUUGCUGGCCUCUUAAAAAAGGCUUUGGCUCUCCUGAAAUACAUUAGCAGAACAACCCUGUUCAUAUGUGGUGUGAUAACUAUCUACGCUAUUGAAUGUGAAGGGCAGUUUGGCUUUCUAACAGUCCUUGGACAGCUCAUCAUUAAUGUGACCUCAAAUCAGGUAGGACUACCCGCUGAACUUAA
rnacentral:misc_RNA from 1 species